rnacentral:rRNA from 1 species
AUGGCCUGCAAGUCGGCGUCCCUGCUGAUCCUCGCGGCGCUGGUGGCCGCCGCGGCGUGCUCGGGCUUGGCAACGGCGCGCGACGUCCCGACAGUGAAGGAGGAUGCGGUGAAGCGGCCAGAGACGUUCCAGGAGGGGACGGUGCUGAUCCCGGGGAUCGGGCGGUACGAGCUGGGCAGCCACUACAGGCCGGACAUCGGCGGGCUGGACCACAGCAUUCCGGCCGCCGCCAACGGGCAGUUCAUCCCCGGCGCCGACGACACCUGGGUGCCCAACCCCGGCUUCGAGGUGCCCAACCCCUUCCGCCCCGCAGCCACCACGGAGUCCCCCUGA